GGUGGAAAAAAGGGAAGAAGAGGAAAAAUCGAAAGAAGAUUCUGAAGAAUACCAAACAUCUGAAGAGGCCGAUGAGUAGUACUAAGUAUAUAAUUCUUAGAUCAUUUUAGUUACUAGUCUUGCAUCAUUUUAAAUCUUGCAUUGCCAUCAUAAUUAUAUAAUUAAUUUGGUGAUCUAUUUAUUUAUAUUUUCAGAGAGCAUACAUCAAGUCUUUCAG
rnacentral:lncRNA from 1 species